CCAAGUUUGCCCAUUUCUCCUGUUCGCAUUUGGUUCCGCCCCUCGGCGGGGAUGGACCAAACUCAGAAUCUCAGACCACAGUUCACUCCCUGGAGCACGACGUCCUCUGCGUCAUCUUUUCCUUCCUCGACCUCUUCGACCUGUCCGAUGCUCUGUCAUCUACAAAUCCUGGAAUGCGGUUAUGAAUAAGUCUAAGUUGCUGCAACUGUUCUACUACAAGCAGUAGCAGAGGGGUCUUGUAGGUGUUUGUUUCCAAUAAGUCUAGUGAUUUAGAAGAAUCGUUGAACUUAUAUUUGGAUGGACUUCGUAGAUUGGCUUUGCAAGAGGGUGUUAUUGAUAUUGAUUAUUGAUCAAGGGAGAGACUUUCGCUGGAUAAUGUCCUCUUAUUGAGUUUUACUGUCUUUUUUUUUUUUUUUUUUUUUUUCCUUUUUCUUUUGUAAUCCAAUUAUCAAGUACACAACAAUGCUAAAGGUGAAAUAUUUAUCAAAUUCCUUGUUGUAUCAUCGAAGAUUUUUCAUAUAUCAUGUUCUAAUUUCAGGUCUCGUAUUGAAGUUUUAUGCUUUGUAUUCUAAUUUCAGGCCAUAUACAGAUAGACCAAUAAAUUUCCUGACCCAAAAAUUAAAAAAAUAAAAAAUAAAAAAUAAAAAACAAAAAAUAAAAAAAGAAGAAGAAGAUAGACUAACAAAUUUGUGGGUGCAUAUACUCUGUUUUAUGCAGGGAAGAUAUCAUUUUUAUCUAAACUUGAUUUCUUUUAGGGUGGAUCAUUGCCGAAUGAAGAUGGGCUUAUUUCUUACCUGCGUAGUGAAUGUUUCACAAUAUCUUUGCACCAUAGUAUUCCAAUCCUGAGACAACCCCAAUUGUCAAACUUAUUCAUGAGAGCAAAGAUUGUUGGUUUGGUUGGCGCUCAUAUAUGUAUAUGGAUGUGAAAUGGAACAAAGAGUAGUUUCCCCUGAAGGGAGGCCACCUUUUCAAAGGGUUUAUGCAUUAGGACUUUGCCUUUCAACAUAAGUUCUCACUAAAUAUUUGCUGGGUCCACCUCUGGACAUACUGGACCUUAGGCAUGUAAUUAUGAGCUCUCUGCUAUCUUGACGGACAAGGAGAAGAUCAUGGGAGACAGGAUCAGUCUCAAUGUUCUGUAAAACUACUUCAGAAUGAUAAAUCAACUAUGGUUGUUUGGUUGGUGGAAUAGAUGUGGUGUGUUAUGCAUUUUGAACCAGAAUGCCGGUGAAAAUUGUCUCUAGCAUUAUCUUGGAAGGCAACAGAUCAAAUUUUCAACACCCACAUGGUGCCCUUGAAAGAUUAAAGCAAGAAGGAUUAAGAAGAUACUUGCUUUAACAGCAUUCCAAGAAGUGCUCGACUACCAGUAUCUUGCUUGGCUGUCAGGAUGAAGAAAGUUGCCACCACACAGAAAUGACAAUGAGAAGUUCUCAGAGACAUGAGUCAGUCUGAACGUCUUAUAUUCUGUACAACUACUCCAGAAUGAUAAAUCACUAUGGUUGUUGGUGGAAUAGAUGGUGUGCUACGCAUUUUGAACCAGAACCCAGGUGAAAUUGUUUCUAGUAUUAUCUUGGAAGGCAAUAGUUCAAGUUUUCAACACCAACAUGGUGCCAUUGAAAGAUUCAAAUGAAGAAGGCUUAAGAAGAUACUCUGGUUAACAGCAUUCCAUGAAGUGCCCGACCACCAAUAUCCUUCUUGGCUGUCGAGAUGAGGAAAGUGAAAGUUGCCACGACACAGAUAACUAGGUACAUCAGAGUGAGGAAAUUCAACAAUUAAUUUAGAGAACAAUGUUGAACACUAGGAAAUUGAUCUUGUAUAAUUGUUAUUGUUUCCUUUCAUAGAAACUAUUAAAAUAUCAUAUGCUGUUCGAUUUUCCA